AAAUGAGGAUUAUAAUGAUAUUUUUAGUCUGUGUUGUGAUUGUGGGAGCCGAUGCGCAGGAUUGCAAAGUUGGCGGGAAAAAGUGUAUCGACCACGAACAAUGCUGUGGAGGAUGCUGCUUUGACGGCGAGUGCAUUGAUACAUACAGAUCCUGUCUAUCAUCACUGGAUGUAUGUGACGACCACAUAUGCCUAGAUGAAGAAGAGUGUGUAGUGUACAUACCUCCGGAGUGCCCGGGAUGUGAACCUUUGCCCGUGUGUAGACUGCCCUUAUAGUGUGGUGAUGAGCAUAAAGGGUUUAUGUAGAUAGAAAAAUGUUAAAUUGUAUUGGAGUAAAAGAUGAUUAGGUAAAAAUGUGCUAAUAGUUAAAUCUAAGUAUUUAUUUUAGUUUGUAGUUACGAUACGGUAAUAUGUAUUUCAUGUUAACAAAACAUCGUACUAAUAGUUUGUGAGAACCAAAAAAAUUCAUAGAACAAAAAUUUUCAGGACAUAAAACCCCUUUUCAAGUAAUAAAUCAUUGUUUUAUUUUCA